rnacentral:lncRNA from 1 species
AUUAUAUAGGAUAUUCACACAUUUAUGUAUAUAAAUAUGUAUCCAUACUUAUGCACAUAAAUCUCAUAACAUAGCUUUUGACAUGUAUGCUUAUGAUAUCAAAUAUGUCAUUCAGUUUCGGUUUCAUACAGAACAUAUCCUACCCCACCGCUACAUUCCAUAAUGGGAGUUCCCUAGAAAUCCCUUCUCCAGUCGCUCUGGGAUGUGGAUAAACCACCAUUAAUUUGUAGUUUUCACUGCCAAUGGCUAUGGACACACAGCAAACUGACACAGAUAAAAUAAUGUCAAUGGUUGUGGGUACACAACAAAAUAAUGUAGAUAAAACCUAUCAAUGGCCUUGAAAGCACAAUAUACUUGCAGAUAAAAGCUUUCAGAGGGUAGUGAUUGCAUAAAAUGGACACAGUUGGAAUUUGCUUUUACUGUGGAUACACAGCACAUAAUUAAAUAUAGAUAUGCUGUCAUAUACUUCCUCCGAUCGUAACGUCCCAUCCCAUACAAUGUAAUCUAGUCAAUUUAAUGCAUUCAUAUAUUGUAACAUUUAAUGUUCUAACACAUGGAAAAUCAAUAACAAACUCAAGAAUAUUCACACAUUCGAUUCAACAAUAAUUUAAGGCAUAUUGUUCAUACGAUCAAACAAAUAUAUAGAGUAACACAUAUACGAUUUAUAGUUCAUGCAAAUAUUCAUAGAUGCAAAUAAAAACCAAAUUAAUCUAAUCAUUCAUUGAUCCUAACAUGUCAUAUAUAAUUAAGGACCUAAUUGCAUAAUUUAAUUCUCUAAAAAUAGUGUAGAACCUAUUCAGGGACUAAAUGAUCAAAACAUAAAAUUUUGGAUCAAAUUUGUAAAAUUUAAGAAAUAGGGGCACAUAGUCGUCUGGUUAGGCCAUGUGGGAGGGUCCAAGCUAUAUGGCUUUGGUUGGGUUUGAUUUUUCCGUGAUUUUCUCGUAAAAGAGCACACACCUAACUUCCAGGGUCUCGUACGACGAUCCUUACGUCCAAAUUUGAUUCGAGUCACCUACAAUGGGUCUUUCAAUUGAAAAAAUGCAAGAAUCACUAUCGAUUUCCAAGAUUUAUUGAAUUUUAGCAAGAUUUUCGGGAAAAUUUGAAAUAUAUUCGAAAUCAAUUGAAAGAUUGACAAGAACGUUAUUUGUUUCAGAAUGUUAGGGUUCUAAGACAAUAAGAAUUUUGAUAAGUCUUGGCACGUUAGAAACGAAUUUUGAUGGUGUUAUGCUAAAAUAAUACGAAGAAUGGAUUAAACUGGGUGGAAUUCGAGUUCUGGAUUCAACAAUAAAUUUUCAGCAAAAGGAUAUGAAAAUUUUAUGAAAAAAGGGUAUUUAAAGAAGAGAGAAAAUAAAUUCUAAAUAGUGUUGAAAAAGAUAAUCAAAAUUCUAUUAUGAUUAGGAAGGGAUUAAAUGGCUAGGUUAAGCAAACUUUAAAGGACCGAUUUUGUAAUUAAACCAUUCUAUCGAAAUUAAUAAAAAUAGAAAGGAAUUGACAUGAUUUGAAACUAGGAUAUUAGGGAUGAUAGAAUGAUGCUUAACCAUUAGGUUGUUGUCCCUUUCUUGAUCACUUUCUACUAUAUUUAUUUCUUAUACAAGCUUAGUUUUCAUCCUUAAUUGCUGAAAAAUAAAGAGGAAAGAAUGUAAAUAAUAGGGCUUGAACCUUGGUUCUCUAAGGGUUUUACUAAGCUCUUAAAUACUAAUACUAGAGCUUAAUUUAUGAUGAUUUUAUAAAUUCUAGCCCCCUAAUUUUUGGUGUGUUACACAACUAGACAUCACCGAUGUCAAAUCAUGCAUUUCUAAACCACAUAUCAACCAACAUUUAACUCACAUACACCUAUUUACCAUAUACUUAUAACUUGGAGUUACCAAGCUUUACAUUCAAAAAAUUACAUAUUCAAUUUCAUUUCAAAAAUUCAAUCAUUUUCGAGUUUAUUGGCUUAUUUUCAAUUCUUAUUGCAUGCUCUUUUAAAUACUAUCACCUAUCAUGUUUUGUAAGUAUACGAUUAUACCAAUCAUUUCACAUUGAUAUCCAAUCUACCCUAUAGCCAAAUCGGAUUAAUAUAAUCCUAUUAACCUUAAUCGAAUUUUCAAGAUGAAAACUUAGAUUAGUUAAUCAAUACCUUAAACUGGCACCGUAGUACAUCACCGUCUAACUCGAAGUAUAGACCUAUACAUUUAAUAGAGUAAUCAAUUUUCAAUACCAUCACAUAGUUAGAUUCAGAUCUCAUCAUUCUCAAUUCAACAUCAAAUCAUCAUGUAAUAUAAUAUAUUUCAGCUCAAUUACAUACCAAUUUCCUUUAUCAAUUAAGUCAUGCAACUUUAUAUUUUAUAAAAUUUAGUCAUUGUCUUGAUAUUCAAUUCCAACCAUAGCGUUUCAACUCAAUAACUAUUAAUAUCUUACAUCAAUAUUAUAUAAUGCAAUAUAUCAUGAAUAUGUAGUAACUAAAUUGGUUUUGGGUUAUAGAAAUACAAACCGAAAGCUCGCGUCACUCAUCGUCGACUAUCGCCUUUCUUUUCCCUUUCAAUGAUCCUGCAUCAUUUUUAGCUACAAAUAAUAAUUUAGUAAUAGUAUAAUAUGAAAUUCUAUCCAAAUCACAUUCAAUUAAAAAUUUAUACACAUUUUGCAAAUUAUUCAAUUUAGUCCCUAAAACCGAUAUAGUCAUAUAUUUCAAAUUUGAUCUUCAAUUUUAAAAUCGAUCUCAGUUACAUCAUUCUAUAGCCCUAUAUUAUCUAUAAUUAUAGAAAUAUUACACCAAUUUCAAAAUUUAUGCAUUUUAGUCCCUAUGUUUAAAAACUAGCAAUUUAUCUUUACAAUCUAGUCCUUUUCACUUCUAAGCUUAAAAUCUAACAAUUUAGUAUCAAUUUAGUACCAAUUUAUUCAAGCAUUCAUCAAUGGAAACUUUUAGAAACUUUAACAGUAAAUAGUACACGGAUUAACUAUCUCAAGCUCCCACAAUCUCAAAAAUAUAAAAGUUAUAAGAAAUAAACUUGAAAUUGCUUACCAAUUGAAGUACUAAAGUUGAAAAGUUUCAAACCCUUUUCAUAGUUCAAUUUUCAGCCAGGGAAAAAAAGAUGAAGAAAAAAAAUGGUGACAUUUUAAGUUUUAGCUUAUAUACUUUUGAUUAAAACCUAACUAAUCAUAAUUAUUUAAUUAACCUUUAAUUAAGUAAAAUUUAAUUACAAUUAAUAAGUUAGUGGAUUUUAAUGCCAUUCCACCACCGUUUGACAUUUUAAAAUAGGUUCAGUUUCUUAAUUGGCCCCUCGAUUAAUUAAAAAUUCAUAAUAAUUAACGUUUAUAACUUUUACAAUUUAGUCCUUGUACUAUAAUUAACUAUCCAAUUAACAAAAUUAAAAUAUAAAACUUAAAUUAACAUUUCUACUAACCUAAUAUAAUAUUUACAGACUCGAAUAUCAAAAAUAGGGCUCCGAAACUAUCAUUUUUGACACCACUGAAAAACAUGUUGUUACCAUUUAAUUAAAUUUAAUUUAUUUAGUUAAUCCACUAUUGACAUCACCAUCCACUAACACCAACCUUGACAUUAUAUAAUUGUUAUUUUAGACCUUAAGUUAUUUUCUAAUAAAAAUAUCUACUGAUUGGACUUUAUAAUUUAGUCCCUGAACUAUAAUUAAUCACUAAUUCGGCUAAAUUACCUACCCAAAAUUCAAUUCACCUAUAUAAUAAGUCCAUAAUCACCUAUAUUUAAUAUUUACAUACUCUUUUAUGGAAAUAGGGUCCCAAACCCGUAAUUUCUGACAUAACAAGAAACUAGGUCGUUACAAAUAUAGAGCCGCAUCGACCUAUCUUUCUUUUUAACGAACAAUACUGGAGCUCCUCACAGCGAAAUACUGAAACAUAUAAAGCCAUAGUCCAGGAGAUCUUGCAAUUCAAUUAUUAGUUCUUUGAGCUCUAUUGGAGUCAUGCGGUACGAAGCAAUAUACACAGGAGCUGCACCGAGGCAAAUCUCCAUUGCAAAUUCAACUUCACUAACGAAAGGUAAUCCUGAAAAUUCUUUAGGAAACACUUCUAAGAACUAACAUAAUGUAUGGAUAUUACUCGUUUAGUUUUCAUCCGAGUCUAAGUUAAUAAUGUAAGCCAAAUAUGCUUCACAGCUUUGAUUUAAAAGUUUAUUAGCUCAAACUGAUGAAAUGAUACGAGUAGAGCACUCAUUCUUACACCAUUGAAUUCAAUAAUUUCACCUUCAAGAUUUGCACAAAGAACUUUUUUUUACAAUAGUCCAGAACCACACUGUGCUCGGUCAUCAAGUAUAUUCCCAUAAUUAUAUCAAAAUCAUUAAACAGUAUGAUUAACAAAGUAACUAAGAAUAAGUUAUUCUAGAUUUCUAAUGUGCAUCGCUUGUGCACUUGAUCAACGAGUACAAUUUAUUUCAAAGAACUUGGGAUAAAUGUUGUUAUACUUAACAACUCAUUUCAAUUUCCCUACCACAACAUCAUAAAUUCUUAUUUCCAACCUCCCAUAUGUCAUUCAUCAACAUACUUUUUUUGAAACUUGGAUUGGAAGAAUGUUUAAGUAACCUAAUUCACUGGCACAUGACAGGUGACAAUUAGCCACCAUUAACAUAGCUCUCUCUUUAGAAGAGAUACAAUACAGAUGACAUACUUAGGCAGUGGGCAUUCUAAUUGUUGAACUCACUCGGUUAACUCUAACCAAACUUCAACUAAAGAAGGGCCAACACCUUCAACCUUUAGAAAUCAAUUGUUUCAUACUUUUGCAACCCUUUUAUUAGGGCAGGUUGAGCUGCAACUACUAGUGCAACUUGUUGGGAAACUCCUGCUACUUUCUGGGGUACAUCCACUAGUGUGUAGAGUAGAUCACUAUCACCUCGACCCUCAAACUAAGGUUUAUUAAAUCUAUUUCGUUGUCAAGCACCGUCUUGAUCAAUCACGUGUCUUGGCCUUCAACUAAAUGAUCUCCUUCGCUAUUCUCAUACCACAAACUGCUUCGAGUAUGGGCUCAAACCAAUUAAAUUAGAGCACUGAACUAGAAAAAGUUUUCUUUCUUUUUGGGGUGAGAACAAAAUUUCUCUCUUCUUAAUAGAAACUUGUAGAAUUGUUAUUCUGGAAAAAGAUAUGUUAUAGUUGAGAAUAAAUUCUCUCUAUUUUUCGGUAGAAUAAUAAUAUUUCAAAGUUGUGUUAAUAGCUCUACCGGUGCCAUCUAUUUAUAGGAAAAGCAAAUAGAACCCUUGUUGAGUUAUAGCAGUUUAUUUCAAAUAGAAAAACAAUAUAUUACUUAGAAUAGGACUAAGGUGGACGACACACCCUAGUUUUCCUACUAGGGUUGCUGCCCCUUUCAUGUCCAUGAGGGGUUUUUGGGCCUUUCUCACAUUGGGUCCAACUACGAGUACUUCCUAAGUUUUUUUGACCCAGUACUCUGUAAUGUGAUCCAACUUGAUUCAUUUUUUCUAUUUCCCAAAAUAAAAUUUAAUAUUCAUAUAUAAAAUAAAUUUCUCAUCCCUAUUUUACCCCUAGUAAAAUUUUGACGAUUUUACCCCUGGUUAAAUUUCGAGAAAAUAUGUUCAAUAUUUCACAUCUCAACGUGUUCACUAUGACCGAAUGAUUUAUUUUUAUUUUCGGGCUUCAAAACAGUCCAAAAACAUAAACUUAUUAUUCUGAUCAUUUUUUUAAGUAUUCCAUAUAGGAUUGCAAAUGGAUCAUUUCCAUUUUCAUUAUAAUUUUCAUUUCCAUUUCCAUUUUUGGAACCUACAUUCAUUUUCAAAUAAUUUCAUUUCUCCAUUUUAAGGAAAACCAUAAUCAUUUCUGAAUGUUUCUCAUUUCUUUUUUUCCUAUUCAUUCUGUUCAUUUCUAUUCAAACACGCAAUUUAUUUUUGUUUUCAAUGAGUUAACGGAGGGACCGAUUGGACAUAUGUAGUUGAGACUCAAAUGAUUUAUAAUUAAGUUUCAGCUUUUCGCCUAUUAAUUAUAAACUCAUUUAGUCACAAAUUCAUUCCACUAUAGUAUCAUGACUGAGCUCUCCCUAACGACAUACCAUUAUGAAAGUAACUACUCAGUACUCAUCCAAUGACCUUAUCAUGUGUUACCCUCAAAAGAUAUUCUUGAUCUCUUUGGGAUAAUAUCUACUCUCCCAAUAUGAUCUUAUUUUAUAUCAUGGUAAUCAUUACAUAUUCCUUAAUGAAAAGUCAAUCACUAUCAAAUAAUGAUCAAGUAAUCCAUCAGAAAAACAAACCCAUGGUCACAUUUAUUUUUCAUCAACUAUGUAAUGCCUAUGAGAAGAUAUCAUUUACCCAUAUCUCAGGCUAUAAAUUCUACUAUUUUCAAUGACGCUACAUACUGCAGUAGUUGUACACCCAACGGACCAUAUUUCGGUUCCUUAUCUAUUUGAACUCAAGAUUUUACUUAGAUCAAAGUGUACGAGUCACGAACAUAUAGUCCGCCAUCCAUUCAGGAUUUAAGUAUGCUUCACUAUGAAUGUCGCAAGUGAAUAAAUCCAUAAACGGAUUAAAAUAGCCACCUACUUUCCAAGAAAAACUACUGGUGGCUAGUGGAGCUUUUGCAAAUAAUAGGCAUCGUCAUCUAUCCAUCACAACUUGUGAAGACAACAAAGAUACCUACAAAAUAUAUCUACAAACUGAAAAGAGAGAAGACAUGUGUAGUGAAUGAGAAAAAAAAAGAAAGAAAGGGUUGACAGGAGAGAAAAAAGCAGGCGAUAGCCAACCCAGAGAUUGACACCACCGCUGAGCAAAACAAAAGAUAAGAAACAAACAGCUUAAAAAAAAAAAAAGAAAAUUUUAGAGCUUUUCUUAGCAAAAUAUAUUUACUUGAGCAUAGUUCUAUAUGCUUUUAUUUUUAGUAACUAUAGUUUAAAUUUGCAAAUUUCAUCUUAUAAAAUUGAUUGAGGUUUCAUUUUAAAUUUACUUUUUCAAUGUUACUUAUAAAAUAACCACUCAUGAAGUAGUCAAAAUAUAAGCACUAUUUUCUUUAUGAGGGAAAAAGAAGAGAUAUUUAUCGCUUUCUUGAAUCAUAAUCUAAACAUAAAAAAAUUAUUAAACAAUAUACAAAUCAUAUUUAGAGCUAUCCUCAAAGUUCAAAUGAUAUUAGUAAAUUUAUAAAUUUCAAUUCACGUAAAUCUUAAUUAUAAGUAAGAAUUAAAAAAAUUAUCAUGUGUCUGCUACCCUAGCACACCUUUGUCUGUCGCCACUGGCAAGAGUAUUAGGUUUUCCAUGUUCUUUUGUAAUUUUGUCCUUUGAAAUCUAUGGUCUGCGUAAGUUUUUCUCUUGCAACAGGAAUCGUGACCCAUAAAGUUGAAGAUUUAUACCUGCGUAUUAUGGAGGAUGAAUUAGCCCAAUUGUCGAUUAAUGAAGAAGAGGGGGAAAUUAUUCACAUUCCAAUUGAUCCAAGUUUGAAAAAUGGGGGCGAGUUUACUCAACUAGUAGAAUGUUUUCUCACAGCCAGCACGAUCCACUUCCCAGCAAUGAAAAGCACAAUGGCGAAUCUGUGGCAUUCGGUUCAGGGAGUACGAAUUCGAGAUCUAGGGGAAAAAAAGGUAUUUGUUUCACUUCUUUCACGUUAUGGAUAUGGAUAGGAUUUUGAAAGGUUCACCUUGGACCUUUAAUAAUCAUCUGCUAGUGCUUUACAAAUUGGAAUUAGGGGAGGAUCCGUUACAGGUCCUUCUAGUUUUGACACCUUUUUGGGUUCAGGUUCAUGAUGUGCCUAUUGGCCUUUUCUUUAAAAACUUGGCUACCCAGUUAGGUAAUUUCUUGGGGAAUUUUAUAGAACACGAUGUCUCAUAUCUGGGGAAAGAAAACAGGAAUUUUAUAAGAAUUAGAGUUCAAAUUUAUAUAAGGUGUCCUUUGAAAAUAAGGAAACAAAUUUUAUUUGGUGGAAAACGCUCAUAUGUUACUUUUAAAUAUAAACGAUUAUCAUUGUUCUAUUUCUAUUGUGGGAGAUUGGGUCAUAAUGAUUCAUUUUAUAAGGCAAAGAUGAACCUCAGAGUGGAAAUUGUAGAAAUGGGCUGGGAUUUAUGUAUAAAAGCACAAUCACGAAGGGCGUUAUCCAUGAAUAGUGUCUGGCUUCGAAAGGAAGUCGAUGGUGAUAAGAGAGGAACCGAUACAGAAUUUAGAGGUUUCAGAAUGGGCCAACAACAACUGGGGUGGAAAAUAAAAUAUGGGAAAUCUGUUGAUCCAAUUCUUGGCUUUAAUCUGGAAUGAGGUUUUUCUUACGUAGGACGAGGAAAGGAGAAUUUAGCCCCAAAUGUGAUGGACCAUGAUUUGAAGGAUGUAGCUCUUGUAAGGGAAGAGGGGAAGAAGAGGUAUAGAGAGGAAAUUAAAGAUUUAACAGGAAAAGAAGAGACGAGUAAUAUCUUGGCAAGAAGUAGGAGAAUAGUGGAUCUUAAUCUGGUUUUUAUAGGACACCAUAUACGCAAGAUAGAGAAGAUUCAUGAGAAACUUUGAAAAAUCUCCAUAAGGAUGAAGACAACCCUUGGUUUUUCUGUGGAGAUUUUAAUGAAAUUAUGUAUAAUUUUGAAAAAAAAGGGAGGCUUGCUUAGAGAUGAAAGAAGAAUGGAGAUGUUCCGUGAAGCUUUAGAUUUUUGCCAUCUAUCUGAUGUGGGAUAUUCUGGUAGAUGGUUUACUUGGGAAAGAGGUAAUUUAUCAUAAAUAAAUAUUCAAGAGCAUCUGGACUGGGGCGUCGCUAAUGAGAGUUAGAUUUCCAUGUUUCCUGAGGUAAGAGUUGAACACCUGGUACACUCUUUUUCUAACAAUUGUCCCAUUUUCAUUAACACAAAGGAAGACCAACGAAAAAAAGCAAGCCAAUUCAAAUUUGAAUCCUGGUGGAUUUUGGAAGACUCAUUCGUCGACGAAGCUAAACAUUUAUGGGGGAUGGCAUCCGGAGAUUUUCUGAAGAAAAUGGAAACUUUAAAAAAAGGGCUAAUAAACUGGGCAAAAUAAGUGUGAAGAAAUAAACAGGGGAAAAAAGAACUUCUAGCAGCCAAGUUAUCAACACUGACUGAUGCCAAAAUGGAUGAUUCUAACCUAGCUGAGAUGAUUGAUACAAAGAUCCAGCUAAACUUUGAAAUUAAAAAAGAUGAAAGAUACUGGGAACAACGGGAUAGAUUGAACUGGCUAAAACUCGAUGACAAAAACACAGCUUUUUUCCAUAGUCAAGCAACGCAAAGGAAGAGGAAUUUGAUAAGCAAACUACAAAACAGCAGCGGUUGGAAAACGGAUGACAUUCAGGAAAUGGAAAGUAUUGCACAAUCCUAUUUUCAAAAUUUGUUCUCUUAAAAAAUCAAGAGAAUUAUGAUCGUUUGCUUUCGGGAAUUGAUCGAUGCGUCUCUGAGGAAGAUAACAGAAAGCUUACAGAGAAUUGUACAAAAGAAUAGAUGAGAGAGGCUUUAUUUGAAAUGCAUCCCACGAAGGCACCUGGCGAAGAUGGAUUUCCUGCUCUUUUUUACCAAAAAUGUUGGCACUUUAUUGGAGAUGAGGUUACUGCUUUUUGUUUACACCUCUUAAAUGGAGAAAUGGAGGUCAGUUCAAUUAACUCAACUCAUACUAUUCUUAUCUCAAAAAUCAAUAACCCUUCUAAUAUGUCCUAUUUUAGGCCUAUUUAAUUAUGCAAUGUUAUUUAUAAAAUCAUGGCUAAAGCUAUAGCAAACAGAUUUAAAGGUGUCAUUAACAAAUGCAUUAAUAGCGCGUAAAGUGCCUUUGUGCCAGGAAGAUUAAUCUCAGAUAAUAUACUGCUAGCCUAUGAGUUAUUGCACACACUUAAACAAAAGAGAAUGGGGAAAAAGGGAUAUAUGACGGUUAAACUAGACAUGAGUAAAGCUUAUGACAGGGUUGAAUGGAGAUUUAUCAGGGAGACAAUGUUGCGAAUGGGUUUUGCCCAAAAAUGGGUUGCUUCUGUUAUCAACUGCAUGUCUACUAUUUCUUAUCAAGUAGUGCUCAACAGAAGUGUUGGAGGAACUUUCCGUCCAACAAGGGGGCUUCGACAAGGUGGUCCAUUGAGUCUGUUUCUUUUCUUAAUAUGCAGAGAGAGAUUAUCUAGCCUCAUGAGAUUAACUACAAAAGAAGGUUUAUUAAAAGGAGUCAAGUCAAGCAAAAGCAGUCCACGAGUAACACAUUUACUAUUCGCAGACGAUUACAUUUUAUUUGGAAAAGCGUCAAGUAAAGGAGCUCUAGCAUUCAAGGAGAUUCUUAGUGAGUAUAAAAAAUGUUUAGGUCAAUGUGUGAAUUUUGCUAAAUCGACUGUUUUCUUUAGUAAAAACACGCUAGAGGAGGAAAGACAAUUAGUCGUCAAUUUGCUGGGAAUUCGAAGUUUAGAUGAGCUAGAGCGAUACUUGGGUUUGCCAAACAUGGUUGGUAGAAGAAAGAAACAAUCUUUUCAAGCCUUAAAAGAUAGACUGAAACAGCGGAUUGAAAAUUAGAGUAUUCGUUUCUUAUCGCAAGGUGGAAAAGAGAUAUUCAUAAAGGCUGUGCUGCAAGCCAUACCGACAUAUUCAAUGGCUUGUUUUUUACUCCCGAAGUCACUACGUGAAGAAAUGGAGGGUAUUGUUGCGAAAUAUUGGUGGAAAAAGGGUCGUGGAAAAGGGGAAAUUCAUUGAUGCUCUUGGAAAAACCUUUGUUUUUUAAAAGAAAACGGUAGGAUGGGUUUUCGAAAUCUUAGUCAGUUUAAUAUUGCAUUGUUAGCCAAGCAGGGUUGGCGAUUAUUAAAUUAUCCAAAUUCUCUUUUAGCUAGAGUACUUAAAGCCAAAUAUUAUCCAAUAUCUAGUUUUCUAAAUUCACAGUUGGGAAACUUACCAUCUCUUACCUGAAGGAGUAUUUGGGCAGCGAAAGGGCUCCUUCUUAAAGGUCUCAGCUGGAGAGUCGGGAGAGGAGAUGUAAUAUCUAUUUGGACUGAUCGAUGGAUACCAGGGAUUGAAC